GUUAUCCGGAUUUAUUGGGUUUAAAGGGUGCGUAGGCGGCGUUGCAAGUCAGCGGUAAAAGCCCGGGGCUCAACCCCGGCGAGCCGUUGAGACUGCGGUGCUAGAGAAGGCGAGAGGUACGCGGAAUGCGCGGUGUAGCGGUGAAAUGCAUAGAUAUCGCGCAGAACUCCGAUUGCGAAGGCAGCGUACUGGCGCCUGACUGACGCUGAGGCACGAAAGCGUGGGGAUCGAACAGGCUUAGAUACCCUGGUAGUCCACGCAGUAAACGAUGAAUGCCGGCUGUCCGGGAGACUGAUUCCUGGGCGGCGAAGCGAAAGCGAUAAGCAUUCCACCUGGGGAGUACGCCGGCAACGGUGAAACUCAAAGGAAUUGACGGGGGCCCGCACAAGCGGAGGAACAUGUGGUUUAAUUCGAUGAUACGCGAGGAACCUUACCCGGGCUUAAAUUGCAGAUGAAUUACGGUGAAAGCCGUAAGCCGCAAGGCAUCUGUGAAGGUGCUGCAUGGUUGUCGUCAGCUCGUGCCGUGAGGUGUCGGCUUAAGUGCCAUAACGAGCGCAACCCUUGUUGUCAGUUACUACAGGUUCUGCUGAGGACUCUGACAAGACUGCCAUCGUAAGAUGUGAGGAAGGUGGGGAUGACGUCAAAUCAGCACGGCCCUUACGUCCGGGGCUACACACGUGUUACAAUGGGGGGUACAGAGGGCCGCUACCACGCGAGUGGAUGCCAAUCCCCAAAACCUCUCUCAGUUCGGACUGGAGUCUGCAACCCGACUCCACGAAGCUGGAUUCGCUAGUAAUCGCGCAUCAGCCACGGCGCGGUGAAUACGUUCCCGGGCCUUGUACACACCGCCCGUCAAGCCAUGGGAGCCGGGGGUACCUGAAGUGCGUAACCGCGAGGAGCGCCCUAG
rnacentral:rRNA from 1 species